rnacentral:rRNA from 1 species
UACGAACGCUGGCGGCGUGCUUAACACAUGCAAGUCGAACGGAAAGGCCCUGCUUUUGUGGGGUGCUCGAGUGGCGAACGGGUGAGUAACACGUGAGUAACCUGCCCUUGACUUUGGGAUAACUUCAGGAAACUGGGGCUAAUACCGGAUAGGAGCUCCUGCUGCAUGGUGGGGGUUGGAAAGUUUCGGCGGUUGGGGAUGGACUCGCGGCUUAUCAGCUUGUUGGUGGGGUAGUGGCUUACCAAGGCUUUGACGGGUAGCCGGCCUGAGAGGGUGACCGGCCACAUUGGGACUGAGAUACGGCCCAGACUCCUACGGGAGGCAGCAGUGGGGAAUAUUGCACAAUGGGCGGAAGCCUGAUGCAGCAACGCCGCGUGCGGGAUGACGGCCUUCGGGUUGUAAACCGCUUUCGCCUGUGACGAAGCGUGAGUGACGGUAAUGGGUAAAGAAGCACCGGCUAACUACGUGCCAGCAGCCGCGGUGAUACGUAGGGUGCGAGCGUUGUCCGGAUUUAUUGGGCGUAAAGGGCUCGUAGGUGGUUGAUCGCGUCGGAAGUGUAAUCUUGGGGCUUAACCCUGAGCGUGCUUUCGAUACGGGUUGACUUGAGGAAGGUAGGGGAGAAUGGAAUUCCUGGUGGAGCGGUGGAAUGCGCAGAUAUCAGGAGGAACACCAGUGGCGAAGGCGGUUCUCUGGGCCUUUCCUGACGCUGAGGAGCGAAAGCGUGUGGAGCGAACAGGCUUAGAUACCCUGGUAGUCCACGCUGUAAACGGUGGGUACUAGGUGUGGGGUCCAUUCCACGGGUUCCGUGCCGUAGCUAACGCUUUAAGUACCCCGCCUGGGGAGUACGGCCGCAAGGCUAAAACUCAAAGGAAUUGACGGGGCCCCGCACAAGCGGCGGAGCAUGCGGAUUAAUUCGAUGCAACGCGUAGAACCUUACCUGGGUUUGACAUGGAUCGGGAGUGCUCAGAGAUGGGUGUGCCUCUUUUGGGGUCGGUUCACAGGUGGUGCAUGGCUGUCGUCAGCUCGUGUCGUGAGAUGUUGGGUUAAGUCCCGCAACGAGCGCAACCCUUGUUCACUGUUGCCAGCACGUUAUGGUGGGGACUCAGUGGAGACCGCCGGGGUCAACUCGGAGGAAGGUGGGGAUGACGUCAAGUCAUCAUGCCCCUUAUGUCCAGGGCUUCACGCAUGCUACAAUGGCCGGUACAGAGAGUGGCGAGCCUGUGAGGGUGAGCGAAUCUCGGAAAGCCGGUCUCAGUUCGGAUUGGGGUCUGCAACUCGACCUCAUGAAGUCGGAGUCGCUAGUAAUCGCAGAUCAGCAACGCUGCGGUGAAUACGUUCCCGGGGCUUGUACACACCGCCCGUCAAGUCAUGAAAGUUGGUAACACCCGAAGCCGGUGGCCUAACCGUUGUGGGGGAGCCGUCGAAGGUGGGACUG